rnacentral:lncRNA from 1 species
AUAGAGCAUCUCGGGGCAUAAUAGAGCAAUAUAAUAAGGUUUUACUCUUUGUUCGAUAGAAUGAGAAAAAGUACUCCUUACAAAGUUAUACUGUUAAGGCGCUACUGAAUAGUCUAAUGUUGUUCCGGUUUUGAUUCUUGUGAAAGUUGACAUCGAUUUGUUCCAAAUUUACACUCUCGGGGCAUAAUAGACCAAUAUAAUUAGGUUUACUCCUUGUUCGAUGGAAUGAGAAAAAGUACUCGUUGCAAAGUUAUACUGUUAGGGCGCAACUGAGUAGUCUAAUGUUGUUCCGAUUUUUGUUCUUCUGAACGUUGACAUCGAUUUGUUUCAANGUUAAUUAAGAGAAACCAUCUCUCUUUCUCUCUAGUAUCUCCGUUUCUCUCUCUCUCUCUUUUCUUCGAACGAGAGGUUCGGAGAGAGCCAAACCCGUGGUUUCUCUUUUCUCACGUUCAAGUGUAUAUAUAUAUAUAUAUAUAUCUCUCUCUCUCUCUCUCUCUCUCUCUCUCUCUCGUCCCGACGACACGAGAUCCCUCGUGCCUCCGGAGGCACGAGGACUCGGCAAAAGCUACUACCUCAAAGGCUUAGUUGCUAGCCGAGGCAAUUUGAACUAGAUCGCAUAAACUUCAAAGAUCUUUUAUUAAAAACACUAAAAAGCUAUAGUAAAUGGAUCGUUAGCUUUCCUAAGUUUUAGUUAUUAAAAAUUGCCAACUUUUAUUUUUAGGAUAUUUUUCACCACUAUAUCGUGAUUUUAAAAGCUAGUCUUUAUAACUAGAACAAUAUCUAUCAUAUUUCUGAGGAGAAAAUUGGAAUUGCUUGGUGGUGUAGCAAGCUUGGUGGAGAAGAAGGCUUGGAGUUGAAGCUUCAUCUUCAUCUUCUCCUUCCUUGGUCUAAGAGGAAACUUGAGAGGUUUUCUGACGCGCUGGCGAAGUCGGUUCGGCGAUACGACGAGGUUACGCGAAGAUAUUGAAGAAAAGGCCGAUUUCGGUACAGAUUGCCGCAGCUCGUGGCGUAAGCUCCCAAAAAUCACGAAACCGGAAUCGUAGCAUCGUGACAUCACCUAAAGUCUUGGAGCUAAAAAAGUCGGGGGCACGAAGGGUCGCGUGGAGCUCUCGGUGGGUUUGACCUCGCUACAAAUGAGAAAAUCUCAUUUAUGUGGAUUUAAGUAUCGUAAAAUGGAAAAUCACGCAUUUUAAUGAAAAAUGCAUUAUUUGUGAAUUUUAAAAUGCUUGAAAUGCUUAUGUUAUAUACAAUGCAUUUUCGGACCUCUAUGUAGUAGAGAGCUUGCAUGUAAGACUUAUGCAUGGGUUUAGCAUUCUAAUUGGGACUUGGAAUCAUGCUUCAUAUAGUAGACAUGACAAAUGUGUAAUAUGCCUUGGACAUAAAUCUCAUUUGGACAUAAGAGAAUACAUUAGGCCAUAAAGUGGUUUUGGACUUGAAUAACUUGUGAGUUAGGGAGCUAAUGUCGUAAUGCGACAUCGGGCUUGAGCUAUGAAUGAGCCUAGCAAAGUAAUGCCAUAGAGAGGCAUUAGGCUUGAAUGAUAUGUGAAUUGUAUAUGCAUGUUAAUAGUAUGAGAAUUAUGCUAAGUUGGUAGUUGCAUUGGAAAGUGUAUGCAUGUAGCAUUAUGAGAACUAUGCUAUGUUGAUAGUUGUAUACGGAUGCAUUGAAACCAUAUGCUAGUGGAUAGAUGCAUGUUAAUAUUUAUAUGCAUUGUGGAAUACAUGCUAGGUACAUAUUAGCAAUGUGAGAUCAUGCUAGAGAGCAUGCGAAUUAACCUAUUAUUGAUAGGGUAAGCUAAUGUCAUAAAGAGGCAUUGGGCUUGAAAUUUGUAAGGUACAGAACUUCUUAAAUUCUGAAGUUACGGUAGGAUGUAAUAGGUUUUACUCUUUGUUCGAUAGAAUGAGAAAAAGUACACGUUGCAAAGUUAUACUGUUAUGGCGCAACUGAGUAGUCUAAUGUUGUUCCGGUUUUGAUUCUUGUGAACGUUGAAAAUUCGUUCCAAAUUUACACUCUCGGGGCAUAAUAGAACUAUAUAAUUAGGUUUUACUCUUUGUUCGAUAGAAUGAGAAAAAGUACUCGUUUCAAAGUUAUACUGUUAGGGCGCAACAGAGUAGUCUAAUGUUGUUCUGGUUUUCGUUCUUGUGAACGUUGACAUCGAUUCGUUCCAAAUUUACACUCUAGGGGCAUAAUAGAACUAUAUAAUUAGGUUUUACCCUUUGUUCAAUAGAAUGAGAAAAAGUACUCGUUGCAAAGUUAUACUGUUUGGGCGCAACUGAGUAGUCUAAUUUUGUUCCUGUUUUUGUUUUUGUGAACGUUGACAUCGAUUCGUUCCAAAUUUACACUCUCGGGGCAUAAUAGAACAAUAUAAUUAGGUUUUACUCUUUGUUCGAUAGAAUGAGAAAAAGUACUUGUUGCAAAGUUAUACUGUUAAGGCGCAACUGAGUAGUCUAAUGUUGUUCCGAUUUUGGUUCUUGUGAAUGUUGACAUUGAUUCGUUCAAAAUUUACACUCUCGAGGUAUAAUAAAAUAAUAUAAUUAGGUUUUACUCUUUAUUCGAUAGAAUGAGAAAAAGUACUCGUCGCAAAGUUAUACUGUUAGGGGGCAACUGAGUAGUCUACUGUUGUUCCGAUUUUGGUUCUUGUGAACGUUGAC